UUGACCUCGGAUCAGGUAAGAGUUACCCGCUGAACUUAAGCAUAUCAAUAAGCGGAGGAAAAGAAACCAACCGGGAUUGCCUCAGUAACGGCGAGUGAAGCGGCAAGAGCUCAAAUUUGAAAUCUGGCCCCUUUGGGGUCCGAGUUGUAAUUUGCAGAGGAUGCUUCGGGUGCGGUCCCCGUCUAAGUGCCCUGGAACGGGCCGUCAUAGAGGGUGAGAAUCCCGUCUGGGAUGGGCGGCCGCGCCCGUGUGAAGCUCCUUCGACGAGUCGAGUUGUUUGGGAAUGCAGCUCUAAGCGGGUGGUAAAUUUCAUCUAAAGCUAAAUACUGGCCGGAGACCGAUAGCGCACAAGUAGAGUGAUCGAAAGAUGAAAAGCACUUUGAAAAGAGAGUUAAACAGCACGUGAAAUUGUUGAAAGGGAAGCGUUGUCCACCAGACUCGCCCGGGGGGGUUCAGCCGGCACGUGUGCCGGUGUACUCCUCUCCGGGCGGGCCAGCAUCGGUUUGGGCGGCUGGUGAAAGGCCCCGGGAAUGUAACACCCUCCGGGGUGCCUUAUAGCCCGGGGUGCCAUACAGCCAGCCUGGACCGAGGCCCGCGCUUCGGCGAGGAUGCUGGCGUAAUGGUGGUCAACGGCC
rnacentral:rRNA from 1 species